rnacentral:lncRNA from 1 species
UUACAUGCAACAACCUUUGCAUCUAGCUCCAACGGUAAGUGGUAGAUAUCUAAGCCAAACCUAUCAACCCUUUGAAUACAAUAUUGAUUUCCUUUUACCAUGAGCGUUAAUAUGUCAGACAUGCUCUCAUUAUAUUCCAACAUUAUAUUUAUCAUACUCUUACAGUAAUACAUCAUAUCAAAAGGGCAAAGAUCAAUAAAUAAGAAGUCAUCAUCACUCCAUACUUUCUCUUGC